UAUCUGACCGUGCCGGGGCAACCCGGAUAUGGCGAUAAACUGGCUGCGCAAUAAACCUAUCGGACCCGGGGGCGGUACCCGGCGCCUCCACCCGAGCCCGCGCGCGACGCGGGUUCCGGCGGGGGCGAAAUAGGAUCGACGAGGGCGUAAAGGCAGUGCGGUCGCUCGGCAUGGUUCCGCCGUCAUCGGGCCGAUCCUAUAGUUGCGAAUGACAACUAUGCUCCGGUGGCCGUCGCCGCGUAAUGCGGUGCCGGUAACGGAAAUCAAGUCCUGAGGGGUAGCACUUUCAGGCGGGGUUCGGAGGUACCUGGCAACAGAAACCUCCACUUCAUUU
rnacentral:tmRNA from 1 species